rnacentral:rRNA from 1 species
UCCCUACGGGGGGCAGCAGUGAGGAAUAUUGGUCAAUGGCCGAGAGGCUGAACCAGCCAAGUCGCGUGAGGGAAGACGGCCCUACGGGUUGUAAACCUCUUUUGUCGGGGAGCAAAGCGAGUCACGUGUGACUCAUUGAGAGUACCCGAAGAAAAAGCAUCGGCUAACUCCGUGCCAGCAGCCGCGGUAAUACGGAGGGGGCAAGCGUUAUCCGGAUUUACUGGGUGUAAAGGGAGCGUAGACGAUGAUGCAAGUCAGAAGUGAAAGCCCGGGGCUCAACUCCGGGACUGCUUUUGAAACUGUGU